rnacentral:rRNA from 1 species
AUUGAACGCUGGCGGCAGGCCUAACACAUGCAAGUCGAACGGUAACAGGAAGAAGCUUGCUUCUUUGCUGACGAGUGGCGGACGGGUGAGUAAUGUCUGGGAAACUGCCUGAUGGAGGGGGAUAACUACUGGAAACGGUAGCUAAUACCGCAUAACGUCGCAAGACCAAAGAGGGGGACCUUCGGGCCUCUUGCCAUCGGAUGUGCCCAGAUGGGAUUAGCUAGUAGGUGGGGUAACGGCUCACCUAGGCGACGAUCCCUAGCUGGUCUGAGAGGAUGACCAGCCACACUGGAACUGAGACACGGUCCAGACUCCUACGGGAGGCAGCAGUGGGGAAUAUUGCACAAUGGGCGCAAGCCUGAUGCAGCCAUGCCGCGUGUAUGAAGAGGGCCUUCGGGUUGUAAAGUACUUUCAGCGGGGAGGAAGGGAGUAAAGUUAAUACCUUUACUCAUUGACGUUACCCGCAGAAGAAGCACCGGCUAACUCCGUG